rnacentral:lncRNA from 1 species
AAUAAGAAAGAAAGAAGAAGGAAUGGGGAGGAGAAACAGAGAUAAGGGAGAAGAUGAGAAGAAACCAGGGGAAGAGAGGGGAGGGAGAAAACGGCUGCAAGCCACCAAAAAUAUUUCAAUUCUAAUUCAUCAUCAACUGUCUCAAAUGAGAAAUAAAACAGAAAUAAAUAGCAGAACACAAACCCUAAAGAGAAGGGCUUGGGCCAAACUCACUAAAUAAGCCCAAUAACGAAAACAUAAACAAUAGUCCAAAUAAAAUAUAACUAAUAGUCCAAAUAGAAAAUAAAUAAUAAAUGGAUGUCCGCAUCAAUUCUCCCGGGGUGGGAGAAAAACUCGACCCCGUCGAGUAGAUAAAGCAGAAUGUUGCACUGAAUUUGAUGCGAAAGGCUCCAAGUCAUGCCAUGGGGGACGAUCUUUCUCGAUGACCAAAUACCGAAACUCCACAAAUGAUAACAAGGAUAGUUGCAGCUUAUCCUCAAGGAUAUGAUCCAACCAAGGAGGACGAUCUUUCUUUGUAAUCACAUACCGAUACUGAACUCCCAAUAGUAAAAAUUCAUGCCACUCAUCUCCAAAAUCUUCCUCAUUGGUCAACACAACCUGUUUAUCUAAAAUAGCAUCAAUUACAUCUUUGUGUGCUGUGACAUGUGUUAUUGGAGUGGAAAUGGUAAUAUAUUUAGGUUGGGGAUCCACAUAAGGAAGUAGAAAAGGAUCAUCAAGGAAAUUAAAAAGGCCUUUGUAAGUAACUAAGUCUUCAAUAUGUAAAGUAGAGUGGUGGCCAAAAUGGACAUGUGCGUAUGGACCAACAUGCUUUAAAACUUUAAAAGGACCAGCACUACCGACUUGCAAUAUAACAUAAUCCUCAAGAUGAAAUUGAAAAUAUUGUUUAUGCAAAUCAGUUUGAAGUUUAUAUAAUGCAUUACUUGCGUGAAGUUGUUUAUUGAUCUUAAUAUGCAAGUCAUGAAGAUGAUGCACAAAUGCUUCAACU